GACGAACGCUGGCGGCGUGCCUAACACAUGCAAGUCGAACGGGGCAGAGAGCUUCGGUUUUCUGCUUAGUGGCGAACGGGUGAGUAACGCGUGAAGAACCUGCCUUUCAGUGGGGGACAACAGUUGGAAACGACUGCUAAUACCGCAUGACACUGAUGAGGGGCAUCCCUUAUCAGUCAAAGCUUUAAGUGCUGAAAGAUGGCUUCGCGUCUGAUUAGCUAGAUGGUGGGGUAACGGCCCACCAUGGCGACGAUCAGUAGCCGGUCUGAGAGGAUGAACGGCCACAUUGGGACUGAGAUACGGCCCAGACUCCUACGGGAGCAGCAGU
rnacentral:rRNA from 1 species